UUAAAAGUUUAAUCUGCCCAGUGAUUAAUAAAUUAAAUGGCCGCGGUAAAUUGACCGUGCAAAGGUAGCAUAAUAAAUAGUCUUUUAAUUGGAGGCUUGAAUGAAUGAUUGGAUGAGAGAUUAUCUUAAUUGAUGUUAUUAAUUGAAUUUAAUUUUUAAGUAAAAAAGCUUAAAUAUAUAAGUGGGACGAGAAGACCCUAUAGAAUUUAAAAAUUAAUUUAGAUUUGUUAAUUGUAGUUAAUUAAUUUUUCUUAUUUAAAAAAUUUUUUUGUUGGGGUGAUAUUAAAAUAUAAAUAACUUUUAAUAAAAAUCUCAUAUAUAUAUGAAAUUAUUGAUCCAAAUUUUUGAUUGUAAGAACAAAUUACCUUAGGGAUAACAGCGUAAUUAAUUUGAAGAGUUCUUAUCGAUAAAUAAGAUUGCGACCUCGAUGUUGGAUUAAGAAAAGAAAUUAAAGCAAAAUUUAUUUUUCUGGGUCUGUUCGACCUUUAAUAU
rnacentral:rRNA from 1 species